rnacentral:lncRNA from 1 species
ACCCCCACAAAACUUCUCCUUCCUUCUUCCGAGGCUCUUCUCCUCCUCGCCUCCCGGCGACACCGGCGGCGCGUCCUCCGAAGUUACCCCGAGGAGGAAACUAGGAAGAGCUUGGAAUAGUGCAUUGAACCGCCCGCGGGUCAAAUGGUCUGCAGCUGUUUAUCACUCUCUGUUGUCAUCAGAGGAAAUACUCCAGCUUUACGUUAGAGUAACAGAGAGUUGAAUCCAGCUCACUGAAUCAGUAUGGUAUGUUUCCAGCAUAAUUGGGUGAGGGCACUGAC